rnacentral:lncRNA from 1 species
UUGCUCGUAGCACUUGCAACUUAGAUCUCCAAAUUUCUCUUGGCUUGGAUCUACCAUUGAUAUUGAAGUGCUCAAUAAUUUCCAUGCCACAAUAUGAAGUUGUGAAUGUCGACAUCCUUACCUAACUUGAUAAAUGUGCAUUUUAGCAAUUUUCACACGUAUUUUUCUUUAUCAAUUAUGUAACGUCUUUCUGUUAUUGUUCGUCUUCAAUAUGAUUGCUAUAUUUUCUGUUGU